UGCAGUCGAGCGGUAGAGAGAUGCUUGCAUCUCUUGAGAGCGGCGGACGGGUGAGUAAUGCCUAGGAAUCUGCCUGGUAGUGGGGGAUAACGUCCGGAAACGGACGCUAAUACCGCAGACGUCCUACGGGAGAAAGCAGGGGACCUUCGGGCCUUGCGCUAUCUUAUGAGCCUAGGUCGGAUUAGCUAGUUGGUGAGGUAAAGGCUCACCAAGGCGACGAUCCGUAACUGGUCUGAGAGGAUGAUCAGUCACACUGGAACUGAGACACGGUCCAGACUCCUACCGGAGGCAGCAGUGGGGAAUAUUGGACAAUGGGCGAAAGCCUGAUCCAGCCAUGCCGCGUGUGUGAAGAAGGUCUUCGGAUUGUAAAGCACUUUAAGUUGGGAGGAAGGGUACUUACCUAAUACGUGAGUAUUUUGACGUUACCGACAGAAUAAGCACCGGCUAACUCUGUGCCAGCAGCCGCGGUAAUACAGAGGGUGCAAGCGUUAAUCGGAAUUACUGGGCGUAAAGCGCGCGUAGGUGGUUCGUUAAGUUGGAUGUGAAAUCCCCGGGCUCAACCUGGGAACUGCAUCCAAAACUGGCGAGCUAGAGUAUGGUAGAGGGUGGGUGGAAUUUACCUGUGUAGCGGUGAGAUGCAGUACAUAUAGGAAGGAACACCAGUGGCGAAAGCGAUCACCUGGACUGAUGCUGACACUGAGGUGCGACAGCGUGAGGAGCACACAUGAUCAGAUACCCUGGUAGUCACGCUGUAUACGAUGUCACUAGCGUUGGCAGUCGAUGAGCU
rnacentral:rRNA from 1 species